rnacentral:lncRNA from 1 species
GCGGCCGCGCUCACGCCCUUCACCGUGACCCGGCGCAUUGGCCACCCCUACCAGAACCGGACGCCGCCCAAGCGUAAGAAGCCGCGCACAUCCUUUUCCCGGGUGCAGAUCUGUGAGCUGGAAAAGCGCUUCCAUCGCCAAAAGUACCUGGCCUCGGCCGAGAGGGCGGCGCUCGCAAAGUCCCUCAAAAUGACGGACGCGCAGGUCAAGACCUGGUUCCAAAAUCGGAGGACCAAGUGGCGGCGGCAGACGGCGGAGGAGCGGGAGGCGGAGCGGCAGCAGGCGAGCCGGCUCAUGCUGCAGCUGCAACACGACGCCUUCCAGAAGAGCCUCAACGACUCCAUCCAGCCCGACCCGCUCUGUCUGCACAACUCGUCGCUCUUUGCUCUGCAGAAUCUGCAGCCCUGGGAGGAGGACAGUUCCAAGGUCCCCGCUGUCACCUCUCUGGUGUGAGCCACCGGCGUGCACUGUAGCUACGGAUCGCCGCCCCCACCAGGCGGGGCACCCGGGUCCCCCAGCCGGGCUGGGGAGGGAAGCUGGGCCGAGAGGGGUAGGGCGGCCC